GACGAACGCUGGCGGCGUGCUUAACACAUGCAAGUCGAACGGAAAGGCCCUGCUUUUGUGGGGUGCUCGAGUGGCGAACGGGUGAGUAACACGUGAGUAACCUGCCCUUGACUUUGGGAUAACUUCAGGAAACUGGGGCUAAUACCGGAUAGGAGCUCCUGCUGCAUGGUGGGGGUUGGAAAGUUUCGGCGGUUGGAGAUGGACUCGCGGCUUAUCAGCUUGUUGGUGGGUUAGUGGCUUACAAAGGCUUUGACGGGUAGCCGGCCUGAGAGGGUGACCGGGCACAUUGGGACUGAGAGACGGCCCAGUCGCCUAUGGGAGGCAACAGUGGGGAAUAUUGCACAAUGGGGGGGAGCCUGAGGCGGCAGCGCCGGGUGCGGGAUGACGGGCUUCGGGUGGUAAACCGCUGUCGCAUGAGACGAUGCGUGAUUGACGGUAACUGGUAAAGAAGCACCGGCUAACUACGUG
rnacentral:rRNA from 1 species